UAAAGUAUUCAUAAAAUCCCCAGUGCUGUUGAAGCACUUUGGGCCCCUAAGCAAUCAGCUGCAGUAUUUGACAUGUGAUUUUGCAUUUAUUUUGCUUGGCUGAGGUUGUGUCUGUAGAAAUGUACAAUUUUUGCCCCUUUAAACAGUCGGAAAUUCGCCACAGAUCAACCCAUUGCCCUCAUUGUGGGAGGUAGAAAGAGGCAAACUAUGAUAUUUUGAAAUAUGGAGAUAUACGGGAGACAGCCUAAUGCCCAGGCCGUUGUCGCGAAGGCCUGCUUUUGCAGCAAGCUGGAAUUGUUUGCACAGUGAAAGCUGAGCCCAUACUCCUUCUUACACUUAAACAUGCUGUUAAGAGAGAAACUUGGACUAUUUCAGGAUGAUGUAUGAAGCUGGCAAAGAUGCUUAGAUGGGAGCCGAAAUAGGAAACUUGCUGUGCCAAACAUGGUGGAUUCAAGCAUGGAAAAUGCGAUUGGCCACCAAAGAGUCAAAACUGAACGCAAAGGUGCAACACAUACAGAGGCAGUGGAGUUUGAGCUCUUUGAGGAAGACGCAGCUCAGAAUUCGAGGGAAUAAAAGGCGGUCGGUCACUGGAUCAUAACUGUGGGGAUUUACACAAAAUACCAGACCGCAGUGGUCAUCCGGUACUACACGCCAACAAGAGAGGCCAAACCAGAAACUGGGGAUGCUUUUUCAAGAAGACCAAAAACACAACAAAAUAAGGAUGUCAUUCUGCUGACAGAUGACAUCAAUGCAAAGAAAGGCCAAGAAAACACAGGAAGAAGAAGAAAUCGUGGAGAGGCAUGGCCUGAGAGAAAUGGCUGAAAGCAGCGAGCCCAACAUGACUUCCUGUGCCUUGGACAGAUCGAUCAUUUCUUUCAAAAUACGAGAACAUACAAUACCAUUUGGUAUCUUCAGGUGAUAAAAACAGAAAUCUGAUUGUCCCAAAGGUAUAUACUUUGGUACGAAUGGUGCAGUAUGUCUCUACCAAUAUUGUGGGAGUACUGUGUGUGUUUAGGGGUGGCGGGUCAGGGUUGUUUGGUCACUGGCAAUGCUGAAACCAAACAUAUAUCCAUGGAUUAACCACAUCUAUAUUAUCCGUAAGUCCAGGAGAUCUCUUCUGGAUGUAUGGGUAAAUCUCAGAACAAACCAUCACCUAUACUGAUAGGCAAGCUUAGGCUCGAAUUUAGGAGUUUAAUAGCAGACACUAACAGGACCUGCACUGAAUACAGCGUUAACCCAUGCAAGACUGUAAGACAAAUGCAAUACUGUAAAGGAGCAACGUAAGCUGUACGAGGGCAGCGAAGACAAGCCCGCGAGCUGCAUGCAGUGGCAAACAGGUUAGUACUGUAAGAGGGAGCAUUACGAAAGACAAACAAAAGAACAAAGGCAAAUCUGCCGAGCAAGCAGAACCUACUCAAUAUGACGGAGUUGUAUAUCAUCACCUGUCAGUUAGCCAACAAACAUUCACCAGCAGAUACACCAAUCAAAGGCAAGACUGGCAACACAGGAGGAGCGGACCGGGCAGGUGGGGUCGAACAUUUCCGGGACUACCAAACGGGCCAGGACCAGCAGAUCCGGUGGACGUAACCAGUAACACAACCCUUCCAAGUAGACCAAGUAACCUGGAGACAACAAGGAACAUCAGAGGAGCAGGUCCGGCUGGGAAACCUCCUGAAGCAGGAAGAGACACUCUUCAUUGUCCCUGACCUUCUUGAGUUCCGGAAGGUUUCCGACAGCCUUGACCACAGCACUCUUUGGGUCUUUAUGGCAUAUCAGAAGAGCUCAUGUCUUCCUCAUACAGAAGACUUACCAACACUCAUCUGUUAGAGUAGUGCAAAAAAUGUCUUGCCAACACUUUCUGUAGAAACUGGAAUCUGAACCGGUGCCCCUAGUUUUCCUGCUGGCCCCAGAGAAAAUAAAACCUGGGGAACUGAGUGGAAUUGGAUGAAAUGGACUUUUAUUGAUGGCAGUUCUACCAGCACACACAUAGACUCAGAUACAAUUCACAACAUCACGGCUAGUAGCAAUAUUAGCUAAGACAUGUACAACAUAUACCACAUAUAUACAACUGCAGUGACGACUGUAUCAGAUUGGGAGGAGCUGAGCUGAAGGAAAUGGAAACCGUUCACAUAUCUUGGCAGUGUCAUCGGAAAGGAAGGAGGACCAGAUGCAGGCAUCCUUGGAAAGGACAGGGAAAGCAAGGUCCAUCUGGAACUCCAAGGAGACAUGCCAACACACAAGGCUUUGAGUUCAUGAAUGUAAAGUCCAUACUUCUCUACACAUCAGAGUCGAGAAGAACAAAAAGUGCAUCUUAUAAUGUAGGUACCUGAGGACCUUUAACAUACAUAGGCCAAACACCAUCCGUAAUGAUGAUCUACAGAAGAAAUCAGGUGAGAAGGAAAUAAAUGCCCAGAUCAGGAGAAGGGAAUAGAGUUGCUUGGGAAAUGUAACCAGAUAGACAAAAAUGCAGUUUUCAUGGGAAGAAUUAUGGAAGGCCUCAAAACCUACACUGUAAAAAAAAAUUUAAUUUUACAGAAAAUUACUGUAAAUUUUACAGUUACUUUUUACAGUAGUUUCUCUUUUUUGAAAGCUGUCUGCAAAGCUCUGUAAAAUUACAGAAAUUAUUCCUGAAUUAAUAAACCAACCUUUAUUUUA